rnacentral:rRNA from 1 species
UACAGAGGGUGCGAGCGUUGUUCGGAAUCAUUGGGCGUAAAGCGCUUGUAGGCGGCCUGUCAAGUCGCGUGUGAAAUCCCUUGGCUUAACCAAGGAAGUGCGCGCGAAAACUGGCGGGCUUGAGUGCCGGAGAGGGUCGCGGAAUUCCCGGUGUAGAGGUGAAAUUCGUAGAUAUCGGGAGGAACACCGGUGGCGAAGGCGGCGAUCUGGGUCGAUACUGACGCUGAGGUGCGAAAGCGUGGGGAGCGAACAGG